CUGUUGUCCACUGGUUGCUGGCUGCUUUUCUUGUAACAGAUAACACUGCAGGGAAAACCCUCCACUGAAGGAAGUGGAUCAGGGAGGGACUUUUGGAAACGUGUGGGAAAAUGUACCUGUUUGUUGCAAUAGAAAACAGCUGGCCGAGUAAAGUAAAGGUUGGUGAGAUCAUUCUGGAGCAGACAGUGGACAGGGUGGCGAGAGACACAUCAGAGGGGGAUGACACGCAGCUUAGCCAGCAGAGCUACUGUACCAGUGUGCCUCACCACCUUGACAUGGAUGAACUGCAGACAUUUUGUUUCCUUCAUGGAGGAUCCUCACAGUCAUCGACACGGAAGAGAAAUACAAUUCAUCAGGGCUUUUAUCUUGCAUUUUUAUCUGCAUCCAGAUAACUGCAUAUGUUUUUUUUUCUAUGCGUUUCUCAUUCAUUAUUGAUCCAGAAUCUAGGUCAUAGGUAUCCUAGCUAAUCAGGAAAUAUUAGAUACACAUGUGUUGCUCUGCCAUGGUUGGCUGCAAUCUGCCUGGCUAGAAGGCUUCAGUUUCUCUGCUCAGUUGAUUCUGUGUCUCAGCAUAGUCCAAACCUUCUGUUCACUUUCUGUGUUUUCUGUUUUAAAUGGAAAUCUGAUUUGCAUGUAUGGAAGUAUGUGUUUCUUCUUUAGGCCAUUCAUUUUGUUUCUCUCUUGCAUCGUAUGCAUCACUUCUGGUUUUUGGUCCAUGCAGUUCAUUAUUUUGUCUUUUGUAAUUUGGAAAGAAUUUGGUUGAAUCAGUUGGAAAUCCAGAACAUUUUACAACAUUUACAAUCACUGGAUUAUGUGAAUUAUAGUUUGUCUUUUCCCCAGAAUGAAGAGUAAAGACAAACUAUAAUUCACAUAAUCCGGUGAUUGUACACUCGAUAGAUUAAAUAAUUAUACUCUUUUUUAGAUAUAUUAUAUAAUAUAUCAAUUUCUGCCAAAGGAAAAUGAUUUAAUAUGGAAUUUAUAGGCAAAAAUUGAAUAUACUUCACAUCAGGUUUGAUACCCGUUGUAUGUGUGUGCAUUGUAUGACAGUCAACAUGUACUUGCUCUAAAUGCUCUACAUACUUCUCUGCACUCAUCAAAAUUCCUCCGUAGAAUACAAUUGCACCAUUGUCAGUUAUGUUACACAAUAAAACUUUUGUUAAAGAAUUUGAUUCAAGGCACUGAGAAGCAAGCACGUGUUUACGCUGCAACAGAAUCAGGAAGUGUUGGGCUUGUGACAUACACAACAAAUCUUUUUGCUCAUGUCUCGUGGUAAAAAGAUAGGCGGUAUGUUUCCAAAAACAUCGGUGCAUCUCACACGGGCAGAGUGGCUGCUCAUCGGUUGACAUGUGUGCACAAAUGAACAGCGAGAUGCAAACAGAUUGAACACACAUCCAGUGAACCCAGUGUAAGUUUUUGUAUUCCUAGAAUAAGAUUUGUAUUUGUACUUUAGACAAGGGCCUCACUUUAUGAACGCAGCCAUCUUGUUCCGCCAUGUUUCUACAGCAGCCUGAAUGGACAAACCAGCCAUGAGAUAUGUUUCUCAUUUUGACGCAGAACCUUAUGACACAAACACAAUAUUUCUUAGUACCUCCCAUCGUGUCACAAAAUGUCCCGCGACACGAUAGAUGCGAUUGCCGUGGAGUGACAUGACAAAUCGCGUAAGAUGUCAGUAAAUCACACACGCUGGACCUUUAAGAUUUUGCUUCUGGGGAAACAUAACAGUCAUAAAUAAAAAUUAAUUAACAAGUAAGGGUGUGCAGUGAUUAUUCCAGUUAGCUAAUAACCGUAUCAACCUUAUCAGGUUGACUGAAAGUAAAAGAAUGACUGACACUGUUUGUUGUAUUCGCUGAUUCUUGUCAAUAAUAAAGUUGUCCCCAUGAAACAUUUGCACCUGUCCUGACGUGCACCGUCUGUUUAUAACACCACUAUCUGUGGACUCUGAUAAUCAGCUCACCCCUGACAA